rnacentral:rRNA from 1 species
UGCCAGCCGCCGCGGUAAUACGGAGGGAGCUAGCGUUGUUCGGAAUCACUGGGCGUAAAGCGCACGUAGGCGGCUUUGUAAGUUAGAGGUGAAAGCCCGGGGCUCAACUCCGGAACUGCCUUUAAGACUGCAUCGCUUGAAUCUGGGAGAGGUAAGUGGAAUUCCGAGUGUAGAGGUGAAAUUCGUAGAUAUUCGGAAGAACACCAGUGGCGAAGGCGGCUUACUGGACCAGAAUUGACGCUCAGACUCGAAGGCCCGCGGAGCGCACCGGCUUAGAUA